rnacentral:rRNA from 1 species
AUGAGCGCUGGCGGUGUGCCCUAAGCAUGCAAGUCGAACGAGCGCCGCAAGGCGCUAGUGGCGGACGGGUGAGUAAUAGACAGGAAUCUACCUUUAAGUGGAGAAUACCCCAGCGAAAGUUGGGCUAAUACACCAUAGAUCCUUGCUCGAAAGAGUGUAGGGUAAAGAAUUUAACGAUUCGCUUAGAGACGAGCCCGUUUCCCAUCAGCUUGUUGGCGGGGUAACAGCCCACCAAGGCUAUGACGGGUAGGGGGUGUGAGAGCAUGAUCCCCCACAAUGGCACUGAGAUACGGGCCAUACGUCUACGGACGGCAGCAACUGGGAAUAUUCGGCAAUGGACGAAAGUCUGACCGAGCGACACCGCGUGAGGGAUGAAGGCCUAUGGGUUGUAAACCUCUUUUGACUGGGAAAAAUGGUCGCCUUAGGCGACCAAGAUGGUACCAGUAGAAUAAGCACCUGCAAACUACGU